rnacentral:rRNA from 1 species
CAAGUCGAACGAGCGAGAGAGAGCUUGCUUUCUCGAGCGAGUGGCGAACGGGUGAGUAACGCGUGAGGAACCUGCCUCAAAGGGGGGGACAACAGUUGGAAACGACUGCUAAUACCGCAUAAGCCCACGGUGCCGCAUGGCACAGAGGGAAAAGGAGCAAUCCGCUUUGAGAUGGCCUCGCGUCCGAUUAGCUAGUUGGUGAGGUAACGGCCCACCAAGGCAACGAUCGGUAGCCGGACUGAGAGGUUGAACGGCCACAUUGGGACUGAGACACGGCCCAGACUCCUACGGGAGGCAGCAGUGGGGAAUAUUGCACAAUGGGGGAAACCCUGAUGCAGCGACGCCGCGUGGAGGAAGAAGGUCUUCGGAUUGUAAACUCCUGUUGUUGGGGAAGAUAAUGACGGUACCCAACAAGGAAGUGACGGCUAACUACGUGCCAGCAGCCGCGGUAAAACGUAGGUCACAAGCGUUGUCCGGAAUUACUGGGUGUAAAGGGAGCG